AUGAAAAUAAUCCGUGAAGCUAUUGACAUGAUACGUGAGCUGCUGAAGCAUAUUGACUCUUCUACUUCAAGACUUCAAGAUUUCAAUACAAUUGCAAGUGGGAUGUGUCUGUCUUCAAACAAAGGUAUCUCUCUUGAUACACCAACCAGAUGGAACUCAACCUGGAAAAUGCUUGUAGAAGCAUUGACGUACAAAUCUGUCCUCACUAGUUAUGCCAAUAGAAAGAUGAUAGAUUCUCCAAGUGAGGAAGAAUGGGAUAAGGCAAAAGCUUCUUGUGAGUUUCUAAAAGCUUUUGAAGAGCUUACUUUGAUUGUUUCAGCUCAGAGCAAGCCAACUUCACAUAAGUUUCUGCCAAUUGUUCUUUCUAUUCGCCAUGCAUUGAAAGAUCUGGGUUGGCAAACCUCUGAUGUGUUGAAGAAAUUGGCGGCAACAAUGCAAUCGAAGCUCAAUAAAUAUUGGGAUCCCGAGGAGAAGGAGAAUGCAGAUCCUAACCGUCGUAGAAAAAGCAAGGGCAUUGAGUUUAACCACGCACUUGUCAUUGGUACAUUCCUAGAUUUAAGGAGGAAAGAAGAUUACUUGGAUUUCUUCUAUUGCAAGUUGUCUACCAACGAGGAGAAGAUUACAAAAUAA
rnacentral:rRNA from 1 species